rnacentral:rRNA from 1 species
GACGGAGGGUGCAAACGUUGCUCGGAAUCACUGGGCAUAAAGCGCACUUAGGCGGUCCCCUAAGUCGGGUGUGAAAGCCCUCGGCUCAACCGAGGAAUUGCAUUCGAUACUGGGGGGCUCGAGGAUGGUUGGGGUGAGUGGAACUCCAGGUGGAGCGGUGAAAUGCGUAGAUAUCUGGAGGAACACCGGUGGCGAAAGAGACUCACGGGAUCAUUAUUGACGAUGAGGUGCGAAAGCUAGGGGAGCAAACGGG